UACAGAGGUCUCAAGCGUUGUUCGGAUUCAUUGGGCGUAAAGGGUGCGUAGGCGGCGCGGUAAGUCGGGUGUGAAAUCUCGGGGCUUAACUCCGAAACUGCAUUACGAUACUGCCGUGCUUGACGGACUGGAGGAGGAGACUGGAAUUUACGGUGUAGCGGUGAAAUGCGUAGAUAUCGUAAGGAAGACCAGUGGCGAAGGCGGGUCUCGUGGACAGUUCCUGACGCUGAGGCACGAAGGCCAGGGGAGCAAACGGG
rnacentral:rRNA from 1 species